rnacentral:rRNA from 1 species
CAAGAGCGUAUAUUAAAGUUGCUGCGGUUAAAAAGCUCGUAGUUGGAUUUCAGUCUAGGAAGGUUAACUCGCCGAAAGGUUGUACGUUGAUUUUCCUCAGACUUCGUCAGAAGCUCGUGCUGCACUUAACUGUGUGGUACGAUGUUCUGACCUUUUACCUUGAGGAAAGUAGAGUGUUUCAGGCAGGCUACCCAGCUUGAAUACAUUAGCAUGGAAUAAUGAAAUGGAUCUCGGUUCGAUUUCGUUGGUUCUAGAGCUGAGGUGAUGAUCAAUAGGAACAGGCGAAGGUAUUCGUACUUGAGAGUGAGGAGUGAAAUCCGAUGAUCUCUUAAAGACGAUCCGAGGCGAAAGCAUUUGUCAAGGAUGCUUUCAUUGA